UUUUCUUUCCUUUUUCUUUUUCCUCUUUUUCUUUCCCUUUCUUCUCUUCUUCUUCCUCACGUCGCUAAGACUUCUCCCCAGCCAUAGCUUCACCACUCGUCGCUCAUCGUCGUUGGAAUUGGCUUUAGUCGAGCUGUCGAGUGCCGUCCAGCCCUUUUCCCCCACUUGACGUUACGUUGUCCAGCCGCCGAGUGGAUCGUCCAUCCUUGCGAGAUCUAGCCGCCGACUAGGACAUCCGUUCGUGCUCCAUGGCGCCACUUGUUGACCGACCACCAAAGCCGCUGCCCAGAUUUGCUCCCACCAACUGAAGUCGCGCCGUCGACGCCCAGUCGCUGAGGUCCGCGCCACCUAGACAUACGCACUCCCAGCAAGCCGUGCCCUCCCCUCGCCGUUAGCUCAACCUUGUCAUCGAACCAGCUUCCACCGCAAAUCUCCUUCGUAACUUAUCGAAUCUUGGUUAAUUGGGGGGUUUUGGAGGAGAAUUUGUGUGCUGUCCAGCGGGUGUUGAAGUUCCUUCUUCGUGGCGAUUUGGUAAGGGUAGAGAUGCACCGGCGAUGGACAAACAGAAUUUGUGAUCGAGCCACUGGGACU